CUGGGAUACCAUUUGGAAACAGAUGCUAAUACCGGAUAAAAGCUACUUUCGCAUGAAAGAAGUUUAAAAGGCGGCGUAAGCUGUCGCUAAAGGGAUGGACCUGCGAUGCAUUAGCUAGUUGGUAAGGUAACGGCUUACCAAGGCGAUGAUGCAUAGCCCGAGUUGAGAGACUGAUCGGCCACAUUGGGACUGAGACACGGCCCAAACUCCUACGGGAGGCAGCAGUAGGGAAUCUUCCACAAUGGACGCAAGUCUGAUGGAGCAACGCCGCGUGAGUGAAGAAGGGUUUCGGCUCGUAAAGCUCUGUUGUUGGUGAAGAAGGACAGGGGGUAGUAACUGACCUUUGUUUGACGGUAAUCAAUUAGAAAGUCACGGCUAACUACGUGCCAGCAGCCGCGGUAAU
rnacentral:rRNA from 1 species